GACGAACGCCGGCGGCGUGCCUAAUACAUGCAAGUCGAGCGGACAGAAGGGAGCUUGCUCCCGGAAGUUAGCGGCGGACGGGUGAGUAACACGUGGGCAACCUACCCUGUAGAUCGGGAUAACAUCGAGAAUUCGGUGCUAAUACCGGAUAAUCAUUUGAAGUGCAUGCUUCGAAUGUAAAAGAUGGCUCCGGCUAUCACUACGGGAUGGGCCCGCGGCGCAUUAGCUAGUUGGUAAGGUAAUGGCUUACCAAGGCAACGAGGCGUAGCCGACCUGAGAGGGUGAUCGGCCAAACUGGGACUGAGACACGGCCCAGACUCCUACGGGAGGCAGCAGUAGGGAAUCUUCCGCAAUGGAAGAAAGUCUGACGGAGCAACGCCGCGUGGGUGAUGAAGGUUUUCGGAUCGUAAAGCUCUGUUGUUAGGGAAGAACAAGUGCCGUUUGAAUAAGGCGGCACCUUGACGGUACCUAACCAGAAAGCCACGGCUAACUACGUGCCAGCCGCCGCCGUAACAC
rnacentral:rRNA from 1 species